GACAGAGGUGGCGAGCGUUGUUCGGAAUUACUGGGCUUAAAGGGCGAGUAGGCGGUGGAGCAAGUCUGAGGUGGAAUCCUACGGCUUAACCGUAGAACUGCCUUAGAAACUGCUUUACUUGAGUCAGUGAGGGGAGGGCGGAAUUCCUGGUGUAGCGGUGAAAUGCGUAGAUAUCAGGAGGAAGGCCUGUGGCGAAGGCGGCCCUCUGGCACUGUACUGACGCUGAGGCGCGAAAGCGUGGGGAGCAAACAGG
rnacentral:rRNA from 1 species